AUUUUUUCCAGUUCAUCACCAUGAUCAUCAGACACUCACAUGCUUAUGUGACAUGUGCCUUGCUUAAAUCUUGUUACACACUUGGCACAUUAACCAUAUGACA